AGAGUUUGAUCCUGGCUCAGGAUGAACGCUGGCGGCGUGCCUAAUACAUGCAAGUCGAGCGAACGGACGAGAAGCUUGCUUCUCUGAUGUUAGCGGCGGACGGGUGAGUAACACGUGGAUAACCUACCUAUAAGACUGGGAUAACUUCGGGAAACCGGAGCUAAUACCGGAUAAUAUUUUGAACCGCAUGGUUCAAAAGUGAAAGACGGUCUUGCUGUCACUUAUAGAUGGAUCCGCGCUGCAUUAGCUAGUUGGUAAGGUAACGGCUUACCAAGGCAACGAUGCAUAGCCGACCUGAGAGGGUGAUCGGCCACACUGGAACUGAGACACGGUCCAGACUCCUACGGGAGGCAGCAGUAGGGAAUCUUCCGCAAUGGGCGAAAGCCUGACGGAGCAACGCCGCGUGAGUGAUGAAGGUCUUCGGAUCGUAAAACUCUGUUAUUAGGGAAGAACAUAUGUGUAAGUAACUGUGCACAUCUUGACGGUACCUAAUCAGAAAGCCACGGCUAACUACGUGCCAGCAGCCGCGGUAAUACGUAGGUGGCAAGCGUUAUCCGGAAUUAUUGGGCGUAAAGCGCGCGUAGGCGGUUUUUUAAGUCUGAUGUGAAAGCCCACGGCUCAACCGUGGAGGGUCAUUGGAAACUGGAAAACUUGAGUGCAGAAGAGGAAAGUGGAAUUCCAUGUGUAGCGGUGAAAUGCGCAGAGAUAUGGAGGAACACCAGUGGCGAAGGCGACUUUCUGGUCUGUAACUGACGCUGAUGUGCGAAAGCGUGGGGAUCAAACAGGAUUAGAUACCCUGGUAGUCCACGCCGUAAACGAUGAGUGCUAAGUGUUAGGGGGUUUCCGCCCCUUAGUGCUGCAGCUAACGCAUUAAGCACUCCGCCUGGGGAGUACGACCGCAAGGUUGAAACUCAAAGGAAUUGACGGGGACCCGCACAAGCGGUGGAGCAUGUGGUUUAAUUCGAAGCAACGCGAAGAACCUUACCAAAUCUUGACAUCCUUUGACAACUCUAGAGAUAGAGCCUUCCCCUUCGGGGGACAAAGUGACAGGUGGUGCAUGGUUGUCGUCAGCUCGUGUCGUGAGAUGUUGGGUUAAGUCCCGCAACGAGCGCAACCCUUAAGCUUAGUUGCCAUCAUUAAGUUGGGCACUCUAAGUUGACUGCCGGUGACAAACCGGAGGAAGGUGGGGAUGACGUCAAAUCAUCAUGCCCCUUAUGAUUUGGGCUACACACGUGCUACAAUGGACAAUACAAAGGGCAGCGAAACCGUGAGGUCAAGCAAAUCCCAUAAAGUUGUUCUCAGUUCGGAUUGUAGUCUGCAACUCGACUACAUGAAGCUGGAAUCGCUAGUAAUCGUAGAUCAGC
rnacentral:rRNA from 1 species